rnacentral:tRNA from 1 species
GCACUGGUGGUGGAAUUGGUAGACACGCCAUCUUUCGAGGGGGUGGUGGGAGCAAUCUCGUGCGAGUUCGAGUCUCGCCCAGUGCACCA